rnacentral:rRNA from 1 species
CGCUGGCGGCGUGCUUAACACAUGCAAGUCGAACGGUAAGGCCCUUCGGGGUACACGAGUGGCGAACGGGUGAGUAACACGUGGGUGAUCUGCCCUGCACUCUGGGAUAAGCCUGGGAAACUGGGUCUAAUACCGAAUAGGACUCCGGACUUCACGGUCUGGGGUGGAAAGCUUUUGCGGUGUGGGAUGGGCCCGCGGCCUAUCAGCUUGUUGGUGGGGUAAUGGCCUACCAAGGCGACGACGGGUAGCCGGCCUGAGAGGGUGUCCGGCCACACUGGGACUGAGAUACGGCCCAGACUCCUACGGGAGGCAGCAGUGGGGAAUAUUGCACAAUGGGCGCAAGCCUGAUGCAGCGACGCCGCGUGGGGGAUGACGGCCUUCGGGUUGUAAACCUCUUUCAGUAGGGACGAAGCGCAAGUGACGGUACCUACAGAAGAAGCACCGGCCAACUACGUG